UCUCUGUGAUGAACAUAAACGAUGACGAGUCCGAUUAUCCAUUCUUUCAAUCGUGACGACAAUCGAGGCAUUUGUCUGAGAGAA